AUCCUACGGGGCGCAGCAGUGAGGAAUAUUGGUCAAUGGCCGGAAGGCUGAACCAGCCAAGCCGCGUGAGGGAGGAAGGCGCAGAGCGUCGCAGACCUCUUUUGCCGGGGGACAAAAGGCCGGACUCGUCCGGUCCUGAGGGUACCCGGAGAAAAAGCAUCGGCUAACUCCGUGCCAGCAGCCGCGGUAAUACGGAGGAUGCGAGCGUUAUCCGGAUUUAUUGGGUGUAAAGGGUGCGUAGACGGGAAAUUAAGUUAGUUGUGAAAUCCCUCGGCUUAACUGAGGAACUGCAACUAAAACUGAUU
rnacentral:rRNA from 1 species